AAUGGGCGCAAGCCUGAUCCAGCAAUGCCGCGUGCAGGACGAAGGCCUUCGGGUUGUAAACUGCUUUUGUACAGAACGAAAAGCCUUGGGUGAAUACCCUGAGGAUAUGACGGUACUGUAAGAAUAAGCACCGGCUAACUACGUGCCAGCAGCCGCGGUAAUACGUAGGGUGCGAGCGUUAAUCGGAAUUACUGGGCGUAAAGCGUGCGCAGGCGGUUUUGUAAGACGGAGGUGAAAUCCCCGGGCUCAACCUGGGAACUGCCUUUGUGACUGCAAGGCUGGAGUGCGGCAGAGGGGGAUGGAAUUCCGCGUGUAGCAGUGAAAUGCGUAGAUAUGCGGAGGAACACCGAUGGCGAAGGCAAUCCCCUGGGCCUGCACUGACGCUCAUGCACGAAAGCGUGGGGAGCGAA
rnacentral:rRNA from 1 species